rnacentral:rRNA from 1 species
AUGGCAAAGAGUCUCGCAGUGGCCCUCCUGCUACUGGUGGUGCUCGCGCACUGCGAUGGGAGGGAGCUGAGCGCCAACGACCGCGCACUUGCAGGUUCCGGUGCCGGUGGCGUCCAAGAGUCCAAGGCGUCGGGGUCGCCAGGCUUGCCGAUUGUGGGAACAACACCUACGGGCACCAGUACCAUUAACGGACCGCUGGUGGUCAUUCCUGGGGUCCCAGUUCACCCAUGA